rnacentral:rRNA from 1 species
CAGUAGCCGCGGUAAUACGGAGGGUGCAAGCGUUAAUCGGAAUUACUGGGCGUAAAGCGCACGCAGGCGGUCCGUCAAGUCAGAUGUGAAAUCCCCGGGCUUAACCUGGGAACUGCAUUUGAAACUGGCAGGCUAGAGUCUUGUAGAGGGGGGUAGAAUUCCAGGUGUAGCGGUGAAAUGCGUAGAGAUCUGGAGGAAUACCGGUGGCGAAGGCGGCCCCCUGGACAAAGACUGACGCUCAGGUGCGAAAGCGUGGGGAGCAAACAGGAUUAGAGACCCCGGUAGUCCCUGUCUCUUAUAU